rnacentral:lncRNA from 1 species
CCCAUUUAGGAGCACUCCAAAGUGACCCAAAGAAUAAAUUAUAGAAAACUUUCUUCUUCCUUUAGUUCAAAGAAGAAAGAAGACAACAAAGGUGAAGAAUGAACAGGAGGAAGUAGAGGAGAAGCCAUCUCAAGCAGCUGGGCGAUCACCUGGACACAAAGGAACACUCAUUUAUUAAGGCAGUUUCUAAACAGAAGAAAAAAUACCAUAUCCACAUCUGGUAGUCUAUUAGAAAAUGUACUAUGGUUGAAAAUAGUUAAUGAACACUCUUGGAACAUGUAUAUUUAAGGAGAAUCAACUUAAUUACCUUUGUAUAACUUAAUUAUACAGUUAAUUAAUGUUAAUCAGUCAAUGAAGUAUUUAUAAUUUACUGCACAUACUUGCUAUUAUAUACCACUACACCUGGAGAUUUCUUUUAAACUAAGUCUGCCUAUAGAUGUCUAUAAAUGAAAACAAGUAAAA